rnacentral:rRNA from 1 species
CAGCCGCCGCGGUAAUACGUAGGUCCCGAGCGUUGUCCGGAUUUAUUGGGCGUAGAGCGAGCGCAGGCGGUUAGAUAAGUCUGAAGUUAAAGGCUGUGGCUUAACCAUAGUGCGCUUUGGAAACUGUUUAACUUGAGUGCAAGAGGGGAGAGUGGAAUUCCAUGUGUAGCGGUGAAAUGCGUAGAUAUAUGGAGGAACACCGGUGGCGAAAGCGGCUCUCUGGCUUGUAACUGACGCUGAGGCUCGAAAGCGUGGGGAGCAAACAGGAUUAGAUACCCGCGUAGUCCCUGUCUCUUAUACA